CAGCCGCCGCGGUAAGACGGAGGGUGCUAGCGUUGUUCGGAAUCACUGGGCGUAAAGGGCGCGUAGGCGGCCUGUUAAGUCGGAUGUGAAAGCCCGGGGCUCAACCCCGGAACUGCAUCCGAGACUGGCAGGCUUGAGACCGGGAGAGGAGGGUGGAAUAUCCAGUGUAGAGGUAAAAUUCGUAGAUAUUGGAUGGAACACCGGUGGCGAAAGCGGCUCUCUGGCCCGGAUCUGACGCUGAGGCGCGAAAGCGUGGGGAGCAAACAGGAUUAGAUACCCCAGUAGUCCCUGUCUCUUAUUC
rnacentral:rRNA from 1 species